AGUGAACGCUGGCGGUAGGCCUAACACAUGCAAGUCGAACGGCAGCACAGUAAGAGCUUGCUCUUACGGGUGGCGAGUGGCGGACGGGUGAGGAAUACAUCGGAAUCUACUUUUUCGUGGGGGUUAACGUAGGGAAACUUACGCUAAUACCGCAUACGACCUACGGGUGAAAGCAGGGGAUCUUCGGACCUUGCGCGAUUGAAUGAGCCGAUGUCGGAUUAGCUAGUUGGCGGGGUAAAGGCCCACCAAGGCGACGAUACGUAGCUGGUCUGAGAGGAUGAUCAGCCACACUGGAACUGAGACACGGUCCAGACUCCUACGGGAGGCAGCAGUGUGGAAUAGUGGACAAUGGGCGCAAGCCUGACCCAGCCAUACCGCGUGUGUGAAGAAGGCCUUCGGGUUGUAAAGCCCUUUUGUUGGGAAAGAAAAGCAGCAGGUUAAUACCCCGCUGUUCUGACGGUACCCAAAGAAUAAGCACCGGCUAACUUCGUG
rnacentral:rRNA from 1 species